UUGUUUCUUUUUUUUUUUUUACCUUUUCUCUCUUUCUUUUCGCAUCUUUAGAAUAUCUCUCUUUCGUAUCAGGAGAGAAAGAAAACCUGCGUUUCGAUCAGAAUAGCGACAACUGAUAUCGUAUCGAUCAAAAUCAAUUAAAUCCGACAGUCUUCAUCGAUCGACAACAUUAUUAGGGUUUUUUUUUUCCAAUGUCCAUUCCACAGAUUAUCGUCACAAAUUUGUUUGAUUUAAUCAAUUGAAGUUUCAGAUUAGCAAUCACAUCUGUCUUUGGUUUCAAUUCACAGGAUUAAACAAUUCUCCCCAAAUCAAAGUUCUUCAGAAAAUAUUUGUAGUGGAAGUGACGAUGUGGUGGUACUGAUGUGAGGAAGAAGAAAAAGCAAAAGAAAAGGAGGAUAAAGAAAGAGAGUUAACAGUAUUGAAGAUAUAAUGGAUGGUUAUGGAAUUUACACAUGGUUGAACAGUUUUGAGAUUUAUUAAUUGGUUGCCGCAAUUAUUAACCGGGUCAAGAAUACCAUUUCCUUGGAAGUCAUGCAUAUGAAUAUAUGAUUGCCUCCGGUGUCCUUAUAUCGCCACACUUCCAUUUACUGCCAGAAACAUGGGACUAUUACAGGAGUGUGAGGUUACUACUAGAAUGAGUUUAUUAUAUAGGUACAAACAAUUGACAGCAUCCGAAGAAUGUAAUCAGACAAAAGAAAAGUCAUAAUACAGUUCCUUCAAUGGGAUCCUACAACCCACCGAGGAAGAGAUCCCGCCAAAGUGCAACACAUAUUGAUGCUGCAAUGAAGAGCUCAACCGGCCUCUAGCUCCACUGAAGCAUACUAAUACACAUUCUUGAUGUAAAAUGAUAUCCAUGAUUGAAAAAUUAUUAAACGAAAAAUUGGAGUUUAGUUGUAAUUAUUUUUUGCAGAUAAGCAUGAAAUGAGUUUUCACCA